rnacentral:misc_RNA from 1 species
AAAUUCUUGUAAAACAGGAUAAGAAGGAACUCUUGUUCAAUAGCAAUACACGAUAUGAUCACAGGUGGGUGGAUCGGCCCAUACACGAGUUCUCAAGUCAUGUUUUCCAGCACUAAAAUAAAACUUAAGCCUUUAAAAGGCAGUCUUCCAAAACCAAAAAUCCAUCAAUCGAACCACAUCCCUUUCUGCUUUGGCUGGAACAAUUCCUUCUAUAAGCAACACCUGCAAAGACUCGAUUAUGUGAUACUAUCUAACCAUUUAUCUAACAUACUGACCAUCCCAUACGAAAAUCCUAAGAGCAGCUACGGAAGUAAAUGAUAGACUGAAUGACUGAUCCCUAUUACUUGGCGUUUUUGCCCCGUUCAGCAAGUUUUGCUGC